UACAAAAGAUCCAAGCGUUAUCCGGAUUUAUUGGGUUUAAAGGGUGCGUAGGCGACCUGUUAAGUCAAGAGUGAAAGACGGUAGCUCAACUAUCGCAGUGCCCUUGAUACUGAUGGGCUUGAAUGUACUAGAGGUAGGCGGAAUAUGACAAGUAGCGGUGAAAUGCACAGAUAUGUCACAGAACACCAAUUGCGAAGGCAGCUUACUAUGGUUUUAUUGACACUGAGGCACGAAAGCGUGGGGAUCAAACAGG
rnacentral:rRNA from 1 species